AUUGAACGCUGGCGGCAGGCCUAACACAUGCAAGUCGAACGAGUGGCGGACGGGUGAGGAAUACAUCGGGACCUGCCCAGACGUGGGGGAUAACGUAGGGAAACUUACGCUAAUACCGCAUACGGUUGGAUGGACCGAUGUUCGAUUAGCUAGUUGGUGGGGUAAUGGCUCACCAAGGCGACGAUCGAUAGCUGGUCUGAGAGGAGGAUCAGCCACACUGGGACGGAGACACGGCCCAGACUCCUACGGGGGGCAGCAGUGGGGAAUAUUGGACAAUGGGGGCAAGCCGGAUCAAGAAAUGCCGCGUGUGGGAAGAAGGCCUUCGGGUUGUAAAGCACUUUUAUCAGGAGCGCGGUACCUGAGGAAUAAGCACCGGCUAACUACGUGCCAGCCGCCGCGGUAAUUC
rnacentral:rRNA from 1 species